GCUGGGCGUGGUGGCGCAUGCCUGUAAUCCCAGCUACUUGGGAAGCUGAGGCAGAAGAAUCAUUUGAGCCCAGGAGGCAGGGGUUAGAGUAAGCCAAGAUCGGGCCAUUGUACUCCAGCUUGGGCAACAGAGUAAGACUCUGUCUCAA
ensembl:misc_RNA Metazoa_SRP Metazoan signal recognition particle RNA